AGCCAACAUCAUCUGUGUCUGAGGAUGCAAUGUGGCCCGAUGCUCUCACUAACUUCUUCCUACUCCAGCCUCCGGGGACCAGUGUGGGAAACUGCUUUCAGACUCUCCCACUGCAGACAUGUAAUGUGUGCUCUCUUUCAGCAGGGAGAAGGCUAUAAGGUGAAAACAAAGAAGGAAAUCCGGAAUGUGGAGAAGAAAGCCCACUAGUGACGGUGACGUCAGUCCAGGUGGGAAGCACACUUAUGUCCGCAGCUAGAUUUAAAAGUCUCGAGAAGUUUCUGAGUUCGUCUUUCCUUUCUCUUUCUUUACUGCAAUCUCACUGGGAGAUGAAAUUAAAUAAAUCCUGUCAUUUCUUUAUACG
rnacentral:lncRNA from 1 species